ACUCAAAUGAAUUGACGGGGGCCCGCACAAGCGGCGGAGCGUGCGGUUUAAUUCGACGCAACGCGCAAAACCUUACCAGGGCUUGACAUGCGCCUGCAUCCCCCGGAAACGGGGUGGCCUUCGAGGGUGGCGCACAGGUGCUGCAUGGCUGUCGUCAGCUCGUGUCGUGAGAUGUUGGGUUAAGUCCCGCAACGAGCGCAACCCCCGUGGUCAGUUGCCGAUGUUUCUGGCCAGACUGCCGGCAGCAAACCGGAGGAAGGUGGGGAUGACGUCAAGUCAGCAUGGCCCUUACGUCCUGGGCGACACGCACGCUACAAUGGCCGGGACAACGGGUUGCCAAACCGCAAGGUGGAGCCAAUCCCCCAAACCCGGCCUCAGUUGGAAUCGCGGGCUGCAACUCGCCCGCGUGAACGUGGAGUCGCUAGUAACCGUGGGUCAGCAUUACCGCGGUGAAUACGUUCCCGGGCCUUGUACACACCGCCCGU
rnacentral:rRNA from 1 species